CGGCGUGCUUAACACAUGCAAGUCGAACGGAGUUAAGAAGGAAGCUUGCUUCAUUUAAACUUAGUGGCGGACGGGUGAGUAACGCGUGAGGAACCUGCCCUUCAGUGGGGAACAACAACUAGAAAUGGUUGCUAAUACCGCAUAAUGUCGGAGAGCCGCAUGACUUUCCGACCAAAGGAUUUAUUCGCUGAAGGAUGGCCUCGCGUCCGAUUAGGCAGUUGGUGAGGUAACGGCCCACCAAACCUACGAUCGGUAGCCGAACUGAGAGGUUGAUCGGCCACAUUGGGACUGAGACACGGCCCAGACUCCUACGGGAGGCAGCAGUGGGGAAUAUUGGGCAAUGGGCGAAAGCCCUGACCCAGCAACGCCGCGUGAAGGAUGACGGUCUUCGGAUUGUAAACUUCUUUAAUUGGGGAAGAACAAAAUGACCUACCCAAAGAAUAAGUCACGGCUAACUACGUGCCAGCCGCUGC
rnacentral:rRNA from 1 species